rnacentral:misc_RNA from 1 species
AAAUGCGAUAAGUAAUGUGAAUUGCAGAAUUCAGUGAAUCAUCGAAUCUUUGAACGCACGUUGCGCCCGCCAGUAUUCUGGCGGGCAUGCCUGUCCGAGCGUCAUUUCAACCAUCAAGCCCCCGGGCUUGUGUUGGGGACCUGCGGCUGCCCGCAGGCCCUGAAAACCAGUGGCGGGCUCGCUGUCACACCGAGCGUAGUAGCAAUCACCUCGCUCAGGGCGUGCUGCGGGUUCCGGCCGUUAAACAGCCUUACAAAACCCAAGGUUGACCUCGGAUCAGGUAGGAAGACCCGCUGAACUUAAGC